rnacentral:rRNA from 1 species
UACGUAGGGACCAAGCGUUGUUCGGAUUUACUGGGCGUAAAGGGCGCGUAGGCGGCUUGACAAGUCACUUGUGAAAUCUCCGGGCUUAACUCGGAAAGGUCAACUGAUACUGUGCGACUAGAGUGCAGAAGGGGCAACUGGAAUUCUCGGUGUAGCGGUGAAAUGCGUAGAUAUCGAGAGGAACACCUGCGGCGAAGGCGGGUUGCUGGGCUGACACUGACGCUGAUGCGCGAAAGCCAGGGGAGCGAACGGG